rnacentral:sRNA from 1 species
CGUGCAGCCAUGCGCCAUAUUCAUGACAAAGUCUGACUACAUCUCCUAAUCCCCUUCCAAAGCCACCUAUGUUCACCUUUUCAAUUUCUUAGACGAUAAUUACCUCCCUCUCAACUUGCUCCCCGGCCUUCAUUCGGUCUUCAAACUUCUCAAGAUCAAUUGCGAGCUCAUCACCGAAGUAUAAGGCAUGCUCCGAAGGAUAGAUGGGCCGCCACCAAGACAUACAAAGGUGGUGGCUUUGGCGAUGGUGAAGUGUGGGUGAAAGGAAAGAAUGAUAACAUGGUUCCAUAUUAGAUGGGAUAUGCAGGUUUGAAGGGGGACCAGAUUGGGCGUAAUAAUAAUUGCGCGGUAAAUGUGGAGAAUGGUCAUCGAGGGUCACCAAGCCCCAGCAUAUUGGAUGCUAUGGCACCCGAAGAGAUUGUUCUUCCCAAGAAUGUGAUUCUCUCAAUAUUCAACAAAUCCAAUACCAUCCCCGAUGCCCACCUUUUCCACAGCAGUGUUAGCAGUCUUUCCUCCUAGUACCUUGACGAAACCAAAAUACCGAGGGCCAUUUUGGGAUUGGGAAUAUCCGGAAUGAGGGAGGAAAGAAGAUAGAAUUUAGUCUAGUCUGUGCCUAGGCCUUGUUCGGGAAGAGAUGGAGGGAGAGAGGAGAUGGUCGAGGAGAUGUCGGAUGGGGCCGGGAGUGUGGGGAGAGAAAGGAGAGUUGUAUGCCGGGAAGUGAUGUGGGGUAUGGCCGUGGCAGUAGCUGCUUGAAACCCGGCCUCGUGGGCAUUAAUUGUGAGAUCUUGUUUACAGAUAUUCAAGUGGGAGAGAUGACAUGGCAUGAAAAU